rnacentral:rRNA from 1 species
AUUGAACGCUGGCGGCAUGCCUUACACAUGCAAGUCGAACGGUAACGCGGGGCAACCUGGCGACGAGUGGCGAACGGGUGAGUAAUACAUCGGAACGUGCCCAGUAGUGGGGGAUAGCCCGGCGAAAGCCGGAUUAAUACCGAAUACGACCUACGGGUGAAAGCGGGGGAUCGCAAGACCUCGCGCUAUUGGAGCGGCCGAUGUCAGAUUAGGUAGUUGGUGGGGUAAAAGCCUACCAAGCCGACGAUCUGUAGCUGGUCUGAGAGGAUGACCAGCCACACUGGGACUGAGACACGGCCCAGACUCCUACGGGAGGCAGCAGUGGGGAAUUUUGGACAAUGGGGGAAACCCUGAUCCAGCCAUGCCGCGUGCGGGAAGAAGGCCUUCGGGUUGUAAACCGCUUUUGUCAGGGAAGAAACGCAUUGAGCUAAUACCUCGAUGUAAUGACGGUAUCUGAAGAAUAAGCACCGGCUAACUACGUGCCAGCAGCCGCCGUAA